rnacentral:rRNA from 1 species
UACAGAGGGUGCGAGCGUUAAUCGGAAUUACUGGGCGUAAAGCGUGCGUAGACGGUUAUCUAAGUCGGAUGUGAAAGCCCCGGGCUCAACCUGGGAAUUGCAUUCGAGACUGAAUAGCUAGGGUGCGGUAGAGGGAAGCGGAAUUUCCGGUGUGGCGGUGAAAUGCGUAGAUAUCGGAAGGAACAUCAGUGGCGAAAGCGGCUUCCUGGACCAGCACCGACGUUCAGGCACGAAAGCGUGGGGAGCAAACAGG